UUUUUUUUUUGCCUUUUUUGUCUUUUUGCCAUUUCUUGAGCCGCUCUUGCGGCAUCUGGAGGUUCCCAGGAGCGGCCCUAGAAAAGGCAAAAACACACACACACAAAAAAAGGGGUUACACAUGCAUUUCCAGGUAACACCAAUCGGGUGUAUCAAGUGCCCUUCCUGGGUAAUGGGAAAAGAAAAGCACUUCAUUCAUUUUAUUACUCAAGUCUUCUACACGCCUCCGCCUGAACUCCACUUAAAUCCAGCCAGAGGAGAGGGACAACGUGUGGGGCCGGUCUCUCGUUUUUCAACUGGAAGAUGAGUAACCAAAUCUGAACAGAGCUUCAUGCCAUAAAGCGAAGGCAGCUACCUCGGUGUUAUUCCAGUUCCUCGAAACCUCCGUGACGGCUUAAAAAUCACUUCUACUCGCAGCAUGCAGUCCGAACAAACUUGUUUAACAGCUCGGGGAAAACAAAACACAAAAUGAAUGAAAGACCUUUUACAUUUUGUGUGUGGCGACUUCCUGUUCCUCUCGCUCUCUGGCAGCCCUGGACCGCAGCACAGAGCACUUUUCACACGACAACGUCAACACAGACCCCUUUCAAGCCUGGAAAAAAUGGGCAUCCUCUCCAACAGCAACGGCUCUCCGUUUCCUAAGACGAAAGAGCAAUGAGAGGGAGGAUAACCGCCCCAUUAACAAAGCACUCUUACCGUAAAUAAACCAACCUUCCCUUUCGGUGAUACGACCACACACCGGAUCGCCACACCUCGGAUCCUUCAGAACCCCAAACCCCUCUCCUUUCCUGCGCUGCCUUCCUGGGCUCCUUCUCAGUCCCCAAACUCUCUGGCCACAGUGCUGUGUCACUGACACAAGAAACCUGAAGGCGCGGGAUCUAUUCUCUCCUCCCUUCGGAGCGAACUGAAGUCUACUUCCCACCCCUUAAUUUCUCCCCUACCGUGAGCAGUAUCUCCCCCAAACUACUGGCUCAGUAACUCCCUUGUUUUUCGUGUGUUGGCCCCGGUCAUCUUCGCCACCAGCACGACCGUUAACUGGACACGUAUCACGAAGCAGACCCUCCGCUGGUCACUUAAGUAGAUUAAUUCAUUUCAUCCUCACUAACAUUCGAGAAGGUCAAGUCCUACUUAACAAAUGGAAAAAAGAAGGCUCAAAGAAACGGAGGCAGAGAGGUGUACAGGAAACUGACCCAAACCCUGGCUGGUCACACUUACUUCUGCUCAGAACUGGCAGAGGGAGCCACAAGCAUCACCCUAUUUAUGUACACUGGGAUAUGGGAUUCCAAAGCCAGGCGUCAACAGGGUCUGGAGCGUAGACAGUCACCCAAGUGAGAAAAGACAUGGAAAGAAAAGAGCUGGGGGCAGAUUCUGGGCAGGACUGGCGCCUCCUACGGUGAUGAAGGGUAUUGCAGCCCUGCUGCCGAGGCCUUGUUCAUGCCCCACCCUACUGGUGACUCCUGGGGCUCUUUGAUCCUGGAGAGAUAUUAGAGGUCUCCUGGGAAAGCCCUGUGAACACAUCCCCGUGCAAGUGAGAGCCAAAACAAGAGAUGCAUAAAACUGUUAGAGAAGCCACUACUUUUCAGCACGGCUAAGUCAGGCCAACGACUUGCACUAAAUUGUCAGGAUGUUAAAUUAAAAAACAUGCAAACUGCGGGCACCUUAAUGUUUCUGAAGCCUGAUUACUAGGAUACGAGAUUUCCAGUGAGAUAUGGGAAUGGAGGCCCAGGAUGGGGACAAGCAAGAUGCCUUGGAGCCUACUUGACUUCAAACACUAUCCGAGCACUGCCCACCAGAGUGAAACACCUGGGAUCAAAACACUGCAAAAAAGAAGCCUCAGAAACAGCUCUUUCAAAACAAUCAGGAAUGUUUACUUAAAGGAUAAGUGAUCAAUCAAUCCAAGGAACUGAUUCUCGCCUUACAGUAGGGGGCAAAGAGGCAGGUUACACAAAGGUGUGUGUGUUCCUGUGUGCAUGUGCAUGUGUGUGAGAUGCUGCAGAUCAAUGGUUCCCGUCCUUGCCACUCACAGCGUGGCCUCUGGACCAACAACAGCAGCAUCACCUGAGAGCUUGUUCUAAACCAGAAUCAGCAUUUUAACAAGUCCCCCAGGUAAUCUACAUGCACAGUAAAGUUUGAGAAACACUGGCCUCUGUCUAGGAAAUGCGUUCAAAACAAGCUAAUUAAAGACAUGGUAAGAAACUAAAGGGGUUCCCACUGUGGCUCAGUGGGUUAAGGAUCAGCACUGCCAUAAGCUGCAGUGUAGGUCACAGAUGCAGCUCGGUUCUGGAUGUUGCUGUGGCUGUGCCAUAGGCCACCGCUACAGCUCCAAUCUGACCCCUGGCCAGGGAACUUCCACAUGCUGCAGGUAAGGCUAUACAAAGCAAAGAAGAAAGAAACUAAAGGAAUGCCUCCUAUGUACCAAAUCACAAAGACUGAGGCAGGAUGAAUGGUGUCCACAUGUAUCAUGCCAUGUAACAGAGGAUUCAGAAAACCUGCAACCUCUUAUGAUUUGGGAGGUACAUGGUAAAGCCAACCAAAGGGAAACACAGCUCUUCUGGACAGACCUCAUUUCAAUUAAUUAUCAAAAAAAAAAAAAAAAAAACCAAAAAAAGUACCUAUUUGCAUCCUCAGUUUAAAAAAAAAAAAAAAAAUGCUAGAGAGGCAGAAAGGAAAAUUUUACUCGGAACCCAAACCACACAUCGAGACCCUGAAGAACAGUGGAAUAAUAUUAAAACCCAAAUGAAAUCUACCAGAGAACAAUUAAAAGGAGCUACUUCUCCAUCAAAGAGCUCCAGUUAGAAGCAAAAAUCUCCCCCCAUAAGAAAACAGAGCUGGAGGGCUUCAGCAAAACCCAGGCUUACAAGUGACUCUCAGGGUGUUCCCACUGUAGUGCAGUGGGUUAAGAAUCCAGCUGCAGUGGCUCAGGUCACUGCAGAGACGUGGCUUCAAUUCCUGGCUUGGCACAGAGGGUUAACUGAUCC
rnacentral:lncRNA from 1 species